UACGUAGGGGCUAGCGUUAUCCGGAUUUACUGGGCGUAAAGGGUGCGUAGGCGGUCUUUCAAGUCAGGAGUGAAAGGCUACGGCUCAACCGUAGUAAGCUCUUGAAACUGUAAGACUUGAGUGCAGGAGAGGAGAGUGGAAUUCCUAGUGUAGCGGUGAAAUGCGUAGAUAUUAGGAAGAACACCAGUGGCGAAGGCGAUUCUCUGGACUGUAACUGACGCUGAGGCUCGAAAGCGUGGGGAGCAAACAGGAUUAGAUACCCUGGUAGU
rnacentral:rRNA from 1 species